AGAUGAGAAGGCACAGACAUUAAGGAGAAUGCCUGUGAAGACAUAGACAGAGAUUGGAGUUAUGCUGCCAAGGAAUAUCUGGAGCCAUCAGAAGCUGGAAGAGGCAAGGAAGGAUUCUCCACUGGAGUUUUCUGAGGGAUGCCAACAGGCUGCUUAGUUGAUUCACGAGAAGACUAUGAGUAGGGAGAAAAGUUAAAACCCAGUCCCACAGAUUAAUCCAAUAAAGAAUAGAAGAGAAAAUUUAAUUUCAAGUUUUGUUAAUCAGAAUUACCUGGGGACUUGUUAACACAGAAGUCACUGAGCCCCAAUUCCAGAGUUUCUGAAGUCUGGGGAAGGCUCAAGAAUCUGUGUUUCUAUUAAGUUCACAACUGAUGCUGAUGCUGCUGGUCUGAGUGAAAUACAUGGAGAACCACUGACAAUGACCUCAGAGAACACGUGUACACUUCUGAAUAUGCUUGAGACCUUAAGAUGUCAAUAUGGUAGUGGUUUUAACUUGGACAGGGUAUCCAAAAUGUGAUAUAAGUGCUAAGUCUUACCCAUCCAGAAAGUAGAGUUGAGAUUGUUGACAAGUUUCUAUCUCAGGCAAGUGUCAUGUAAGGAACUAGGGUUGGACUGAAUCUGUAAUAAUGAAGUGACGGCAUUGACUCGAAGUCCAGGUGGGAGAUAUUGGGGAGGGAAGACUUGUUUGAAAUAAAUCCAGGGGUCUGAAACGUUCUACUCCUUCUGAGUGGAGGUAAGUGUGGCACACAAUCUUUUAAAUAUACAAAGGACAGAAACACUGCCAGAACAUAAAACUGAAU
rnacentral:lncRNA from 1 species